rnacentral:rRNA from 1 species
UACGUAGGGUGCGAGCGUUAAUCGGAAUUACUGGGCGUAAAGUGUGCGCAGGCGGUUUCGCAAGUCAAGUGUGAAAGCCCCGGGCUCAACCCGGGAACUGCUUUUGAAACUGCCGAGCUAGAGUGCGGAAGGGGCAACUGGAAUUCCCAGUGUAGCGGUGAAAUGCGUAGAUAUUGGGAAGAACACCUGAGGCGAAGGCGGGUUGCUGGGCCGACACUGACGCUGAGGCGCGAAAGCCAGGGGAGCGAACGGG